CGCGUAGGUGGUUUGUUAAGUUGGAUGUGAAAGCCCCGGGCUCAACCUGGGAACUGCAUCCAAAACUGGCAAGCUAGAGUACGGCAGAGGGUGGUGGAAUUUCCUGUGUAGCGGUGAAAUGCGUAGAUAUAGGAAGGAACACCAGUGGCGAAGGCGACCACCUGGACUGAUACUGACACUGAGGUGCGAAAGCGUGGGGAGCAAACA
rnacentral:rRNA from 1 species